rnacentral:rRNA from 1 species
UUGGAGGGCAAGUCUGGUGCCAGCAGCCGCGGUAAUUCCAGCUCCAAUAGCGUAUAUUAAAGUUGCUGCAGUUAAAAAGCUCGUAGUUGAAUUUCGGGACCAUCAUGUCGGUCGUGCCUCGGUACCCACUGGUAUUGUUGGUUUCUCCCUUCUGACGAACCAUGAUGUCAUUUAUUUGGUGUUGUGGGGAAUCAGGACUGUUACUUUGAAAAAAUUAGAGUGUUUAAAGCAGGCUCACGCUUGAAUACAUUAGCAUGGAAUAAUGAAAUAGGACGUUUGAUUCUAUUUUGUUGGUUUCUAGGAUCGACGUAAUGAUUAAUAGGGAUAGUUGGGGGCAUUAGUUUUCAAUUGUCAGAGGUGAAAUUCUUGGAUUUAUUGAAGACUAACUACUGCGAAAGCAUUUGCAAAGGAUGUUUUCAUUAAUCAAGAACGAAAGUUAGGGGAUCGAAGACGAUCAGAUACCGUCGUAGUCUUAACCAUAAACUAUGCCGACUAGGGAUCGGAUGAUGUUAAUUUUUUAAUGACUCAUUCGGCGCCUUACGGGAAAC